rnacentral:rRNA from 1 species
ACGGGUGAGUAACGCGUGGGUAACCUACCCUGUACACACGGAUAACAUACCGAAAGGUAUGCUAAUACGGGAUAAUAUAUUUGAGAGGCAUCUCUUAAAUAUCAAAGGUGAGCCAGUACAGGAUGGACCCGCGUCUGAUUAGCUAGUUGGUAAGGUAACGGCUUACCAAGGCGACGAUCAGUAGCCGACCUGAGAGGGUGAUCGGCCACAUUGGAACUGAGACACGGUCCAAACUCCUACGGGAGGCAGCAGUGGGGAAUAUUGCACAAUGGGCGAAAGCCUGAUGCAGCAACGCCGCGUGAGUGAUGAAGGCCUUCGGGUCGUAAAACUCUGUCCUCAAGGAAGAUAAUGACGGUACUUGAGGAGGAAGCCCCGGCUAACUACGUGCCAGCAGCCGCGGUAAUACGUAGGGGGCUAGCGUUAUCCGGAUUUACUGGGCGUAAGGGGUGCGUAGGCGGUCUUUCAAGUCAGGAGUGAAAGGCUACGGCUCAACCGUAGUAAGCUCUUGAAACUGGGAGACUUGAGUGCAGGAGAGGAGAGUGGAAUUCCUAGUGUAGCGGUGAAAUGCGUAGAUAUUAGGAGGAACACCAGUUGCGAAGGCGGCUCUCUGGACUGUAACUGACGCUGAGGCACGAAAGCGUGGGGAGCAAACAGGAUUAGAUACCCUGGUAGUCCACGCUGUAAA